rnacentral:rRNA from 1 species
CCUACGGGCGGCAGCAGUGGGGAAUAUUGGACAAUGGGCGAAAGCCUGAUCCAGCCAUGCCGCGUGUGUGAAGAAGGCCUUCGGGUUGUAAAGCACUUUCAGUGGGGAAGAAAGCCUUGGGGCUAAUACCCUCGAGGAAGGACAUCACCCACAGAAGAAGCACCGGCUAACUCCGUGCCAGCAGCCGCGGUAAUACGGAGGGUGCGAGCGUUAAUCGGAAUUACUGGGCGUAAAGCGCGCGUAGGCGGUCUGAUAAGCCGGUUGUGAAAGCCCCGGGCUCAACCUGGGAACGGCAUCCGGGACUGAUAGGCUAAGGUGAAGAGACGAAUGGGAGAAGCCGCGGAGAAGGGGUGAAAUGCGUGGAGGUAGGGAGGAAUAGCGGUGGGAAAGGCGGCAUUCUAGACUGGCACUGCCGCGGAGGUGCGAAAGCGAGGGUAGAAGACGGGAUUGGAUACCCUGAGG